rnacentral:rRNA from 1 species
UACAGAGGGUGCGAGCGUUAAUCGGAAUUACUGGGCGUAAAGCGUGCGCAGGCGGCUUCGCAAGUCAGGCGUGAAAUCCCCGGGCUUAACCUGGGAAUGGCGUCUGAAACUACGGAGCUGGAGUGUGGCAGAGGGAGGUAGAAUUCCACGUGUAGCGGUGAAAUGCGUAGAUAUGCGGAGGAACACCGAUGGCGAAGGCAAUCCCCUGGGCCUGGCACUGGACGCUCAUGCACGAAAGCGUGGGGAGCAAACAGG